GGCCGCGGAGGUCCGCAGAAGCGGGGUGCUGGCGGCUCCCGAUGGCACCUGCUCGGUGUCACUCAGACGUCGGCGUGCGAACCAGGGGACCCCCGGAGUUAGCCAGCUGCGACCGGCCCGUCCCCUGAGACAGGUUGAAGGUGUUGCACGUCGGUUACUUCCAUUGUGUUUUUCGAACGUCCGUGCUGAUGACUUUCAGAGAAAACUUGUAUUUAGAGCGAAGAGAAUCAACAGAUGCAUUUUGUAACCUGCGAGUGCUCUGGAAAAGGCCCUGCGGCCCCUUUCUUUACCUCAGGGAACUGCUGGACGCUGUGGAGGAACGUGGGUGUCCGGAUGUAGAAGUGCAUUUUGCCAGAGAGUUUACAAGAGCCCUUUCCAGGAAGGUCAGGGUCAAUGUAUGCGGUUCCUUCCCACAUAAAGGGCGCUGUGGACUUAACUUCUUGAAGGCGGCUGGCAUUUGGUGUGGAUCGGUGUUCACGGUUUAGGAGGCCAAUCAGUAGGAGGCAGGUCACAGCAUUUGCAAAAGUAGACCAGUAACGCCUGCCGAGACCCAGGAUUGGACCAGGGACCUUUAGAUCUUCAGUCUAAGGCUCUCCCAACGGGGCUAUCUUGGCAAGCCCUGGCACUGUCUUUUGUCAAUUACUCCCUAAAUAAAUUUUUCUGAACAGCA